rnacentral:lncRNA from 13 species
ACCUGGGCACUAAAAAGUACUCUGAACAGAGGAUUCUGAAUGUGUGCAACUUGUGUUUGGAUGGAGACAGCAUAUAGUCCCUGGUGGGAGUGAACUGAAUCCAUGUGGGAAAUAUCUUGGGAGCAAGGACAGAAGUGGAUGACUAUCACCAUCACCACAUUCCUCCAGAAGCUUAGGAAGAAAAGAGCUCUGAAAGGAGCUAUGUGGUUAUAAGUGUUCAUUUUGUUAAACAAAAGACUGAUGAGAUUAAGGUGUUGACACUAAUAUGUUAACAGAGGUUAUCUCUAGAAGAAGAGGAUAUUCAAUACAUCUACAAGAUGCUCUUCUCCCCUGAGUGAUUGAUGAGGAAUAAUUAAUGAAUACAAUGCCAGUAAUUUUGACUCUGAGGUAAAACCAGCAUACAAGCCAACAUUCUCUAGCCUCAUUUGCUUGAGUGGUAUUGCUCUAAUCUACAACAAAAGGAAAGUCUUCUGGCUUCCUCGAACUGGAAGUCCUCCAGUGUGCCAUCUGAAGCACUUAGCACCCUCCAAUUCUUUGUUGGUGUUUUAUAUGAUCAACAACAGAAACAAAUCUUCCAUUAAACCUCUGUGAGUGUGUCACUAUGGUGACACUAAACAAAAGGAAAUCAAAGUCCUCUAAAUUUGAAUAAACCAGAUAUGCAAAGACAGAUACCAGUAAUUAUAAAAAUUGAAGAACUGCAUCCUGGACAAAGCUAAGCAAAGGAAACAGUCAAGGCAACAGUAUCCCAGAGUAAAGCUUCAAGGCAGCUAAGGACAUGAUUUUCAGGGAGGUCUACACAUCACUCAAUCUCCACAGCCUCAAGUGGGAGAAAGCUUGCGGACUUCAGAACCUGACAUUUGCCAUUCCUCUGGAAAAAUUGGACUGUUUCCUCAGGUUUCCAAGACUAAGGAUGCCAAUUUCUCUGGUGGUUGAGAAUGUGUCUCCUCAGGAUGACUUGGAGUCUGCCGCUCUGACUACAUCUUGCUCCUUCACUGGCCUGAGUCAGCUCCAGGGAAUUGUGCAUCUCCUUGAACUCAGUCUGGCAAUGGCUGCUCAGGCUCCCAUGCUGUGCCCCCUUCAGUAGCACAGAAAUUUUAGAUAUUCCUGCAAGAUUAUUACUUGAGGGUAAUGAAAUAUGACGGUGAGAGGUCAUGAUCCUACCUGCAGAUUGCUUAAACUCAGCAGCUACAAAGAUAUCAUAAUGUGAAAGUGCAGACUCUGGAGCCAGAGUGUGUGUUUUUAAAUCACAGUUCUACCACUUUCUUACUUUGCGAUGUUGGACAAAUCAUUUAACUUCUACGUGCCUUGAUUAUUCUACCUCUAACAUUGGUGCAUCCUGAGGAAAUAGUGUAAGUGAAGGCUCACAUACUUAAUGUUUAUUUAAAGGU